GUCUAUCAUGGGCAUAGAAGACCAGCCAUCAGCCUCUUGGGACUGCCUGACGGAUGGACACAAUGCUGACUGUCGUUUCCUACCCCAUCCUAGAGCCAAUCAAAAUGACACACGUAACUAAGAAAGCUUUUGAACUGGAAGUGUGUUUCUGCUUCCCCUUGAGAUCAAAGUUUCAAGAUCCUAGAAAGUUCUCAAUAAAUGCCUGUGACAUGGAUGGAUGAAUCCACAGAUCAAUAAGUAGAUAUGUGCAGUUUGUGGCUUUUCUUCCGGGACUGCAAACAGGAAUGUGAAGAGAACUCUUGCACUCCACUCAGGGCACACAUUGAGUUGUUGGUUUGGCAACCCUUGUGAGAGAGCCUGGGCAAUUCAGCUUUGAAAGCUUCAAGCUAUCUCAUUUUGUCAUUCCUUCCUAAUCAUCAGAGGACCAACAGCAUAGGAAGACCUCAGCUCUCAAGACCAAAGAGAUAGACGUCACAAAGAUCAUUAAAAGUUGGGACUCACCUUGUUUCUAAAAUCCCUUUUUUUUUUACAGUUCUUGGGCACCAAGAAGUGGGGUGGGUGGGAGAGGAAUGGGGGAAAUAAAGACCAUAGAGUCAGAACCAAGAAUGGCUUCACCGAAGACCAGACUGGAAGGGUUUUACUUUGCAGAACCUUGCAACCAGCGCUGGGUUCACUUUGUCUCCUGGUUAGGAAAGUCUCCAUUUCACUGGGGAGGAGUGGGCUGGGGAUCACUGGCCAGCUGGAAACACUGCAGAAGUACCUGAGUGCUCCUGGGGCAGGACACACAGGAGGGCAGAAAACCUUCCCAUCUGAGCUUGUAGUUAAGCUUCACUGCCAACUCGACUGUUUGGAGUCAUACAGGAGACCAUUG
rnacentral:lncRNA from 1 species